UCGGGCGUGGUGUACGGCGCACGACCGCUCUUCAUGUUCGUACGCAAACCUCACGUUAGGCGGUAGGACGGGGUUCGACUCCCCGCGCCCGAA